AACGAACGCUGGCGGCAUGCCUAACACAUGCAAGUCGAACGAGACCUUCGGGUCUAGUUGCGCACGGGUGCGUAACGCGUGGGAACCUGCCCUUAGGUUCGGAAUAACUCCCCGAAAGGGGUGCUAAUACCGGAUAAUGUCUUCGGACCAAAGAUUUAUCGCCUUUGGAUGGGCCCGCGUUGGCUUAGCUCGUUGGUAGGGUAAAAGCCUACCAAGGCGACGAUCCAUAGCUGGUCUGAGAGGAUGAUCAGCCACACUGGGACUGAGACACGGCCCAGACUCCUACGGGAGGAAGCAGUGGGGAAUAUUGGAGAAUGGGCGAAAGCCUGAUCCAGCAAUGCCGCGUGAGUGAUGAAGGCCUUAGGGUUGUAAAGCUCUUUUACCCGGGAUGAUAAUGACAGUACCGGGAGAAUAAGCUCCGGCUAACUCCGUG
rnacentral:rRNA from 1 species